rnacentral:rRNA from 1 species
UACAGAGGGGGCAAGCGUUGUUCGGAAUUACUGGGCGUAAAGGGCGCGUAGGCGGCCUGUUAAGUCGAACGUGAAAUCCCCGGGGCUCAACCCCGGAACUGCCUUUGAUACUGGGUAUCUCGAGUCCGGAAGAGGUGAGUGGAAUUCCGAGUGUAGAGGUGAAAUUCGUAGAUAUUCGGAGGAACACCAGUGGCGAAGGCGGCUCACUGGUCCGGUACUGACGCUGAGGUGCGAAAGCGUGGGGAGCAAACAGG